AAGGCUGACCACAGUGACUCAGGGACCCUGAUGCUACCAAUGCAUCCCAAGGCACAAGCCACUGGAUGUGGUCCAGCAAGGUCAAAGCAGAGUUUCAGGAAUCGAAUGACAUCCUGGGUGGGAUCCAUGCGUAUAGCUGAAAGGCUCGCCCAACAGCCCAAUUCUGUAAGCUCACCAGCCUAAUGCACUCUAUCAUAGGUUCUAGGUUCAGGAGGACACCCUGUCUCAACCACCAAGGUGGGUGGCAUCUGAGUGACAUCUGGCCUCCAAGUGAACCUGCGUCCACGUGUCUCCUAACCCACGUGUUUCCUGCACACAUAAGUUAGGAUGUGCACGAUGGAAAUGCUAUAGAACUCGAAGCAAGGUCUCAAUGAACACCAAUUACGACGACGGAGCGUCAGAGGCCAGCCUCGGCUCCAGUGACCAGUGGGCAGAGAUCCAAGAAAGGCUUCCAGCUUCUCGCCCACCUUAAGACUCCAGUAGAUCACUGCUCGCAAGCUCUCUAUGCCAAAGACUCGCUGUCAUUUACGGACACUGGGAAAAUCAGGACGGAGGAAACAGGCCGGAGAAACGUCACUUUGGGAAAUGGGUGAGAGUCUGUACAUUAUCUGAGCUUGUUGGUGUUCCAGCUGUGCAAUGCCAAGUGUCCCGAGACUCUAAAGGCUGGUGUCUGAGGAGAGGCAGCAGACUGUGCAGUCAAUAUAGAAGGGAAGGUGAGGUUAGGAGGUCUGCUGGGUGUGAUAGCUCAUGACAUGCUUGUCCUGAUGAUGAUGGUGGAGCUCAGAGCUGCUCUGGGACCCUGUGUGAAAGGGAUAUGUUUUGGCACUUCAUCUGCUCUAGGGACACAGGUAUUUACUACCUGUGCCUGCCUGUGUCUAACAAGUCCUUCCAUCAGAAAUGAAUUGGUCAUCUCUGCCAUCCCUCCCCUCUUAUUCCCUUAAGGAGGUGUGUGUGUGUGUGUGUGUGUGUGUGUGUGUGUGUGUGUGUGUGUGUGUGUGUGUUUUAUAGGCUGUCCCAGUCCAGGCCACAAGACUGAUUUUGUAGAGGGUUAAAGAACAGAGUCCAGAUGGCACAAAAGAGGGGCAUUAAAGCUUCAAGGCAACCUCCUGCCUUUAGAACCCCGGGCAGAAUCUUGCCUUGGCUCCCAUGCAAACAGCCAGGGAUGUGCUGGGCCGUAGGAGAGGAUUCAGAGCAGCCCUGUUUAAGGGCCCCUGAGCCUGGUCUGGCCCUGGAGUUUAAGGGCUGGGUCCUGGAGUGCUUAGCCAAGUGAGUGGGGACCAGGGCUGGAUGGGCCAGCUCAUCUUUCCCUGAGGACUUUUAAAAGCCACUGAAGGUGUGGUGGCUUGAAUGAGAAAUGUCUCUCAUAGGCCCCAGUAUUUGGUCGCCAGUUGGUGGCCCUAUUUGGGGAGUUUUCAGUGGUGCAACUUUGCUGGAGGAAGUGUGUCUGUCAUCAAGGGUGUUUUUUUUUGAGAUUAAAAGGUCCUGCUGUACCCAGUCCACCCUCUGCCUUUGUGUUUGUGGUUCAGUGUGUUAGCCCUCUGCUUCCUGUACCUUCUACUACACUUGCUGUCAUGCCUGCCUGCCUGCCACGAUGAACUCUUAUCCCUCUGGAACCAUAUGUCAAAAUAAAUCCUCUCUUCCAUAAGUUACUUUAGGUCAUGGUGCUUUAUCAUAACCACAGGCAAGAAACUAACACUCCUGGCUGGGAACUGUCUUGCGAUGUAGUUGAGAAAAACGCCUUGGGACCAUUCCGGUCUAGGAAGGUGGAACGCUGUAGGCCAGGUGCAGGGGUAGAACACAACACCGAAGGCUCAGUUGGAUAGCCUCGCCUCUCUCAAAGUCUAGAACAGAAGGCCAUGGCACACAGAGGUACUGGGAGAUUCCUGAGUGGGCAGCUUUAUCAGGGCAGACGGGGUGGACACCGUAUGUCGAGUCUGCAAGGCUGAGGCUCUGCAGUUUCUCCACAAUCACCGUGAAGGACUCAGAGGUCAGUGGAAAACACAAGUGAUCGAUACAGAAAAAUAGCCCAGGGCUCUCUCAUGACCGUCCAAGCACUUGGGAGCCAGAAGCAGGCAGAUCUCUGAGUUUGAGGCCAGCUUUGUCUACAGAGCAAGUUCCAGGACAGUCUGAGCUAAACAGAGGAACCCUGCCUUGAAUAACUGGAAGAGAGAGAGAGAGAGAGAGAGAGAGAGAGAGAGAGAGAGAGAGA